UGGAACUGAUAGUGUGACUUCUGAGA
rnacentral:piRNA from 1 species